AUGCUUUGUUAUUUUUUCGCUGUUACAUCACUUCCCAUAACAAGUAGGGCACUGAAUUUCAGGUUUGAUCUGCACUGUGUGGAGUGGAGCUGUUAUGUCUACUUUUCUUCCUUCUUCUUUGAACUAUGUGUUUUCAUGCAAUGGACAAAGAUUUCCAUUCUUCAGAUUGCAAUUUUAGAUGGCCACAUACGAGCUUCCUGCCCAACGAUCUCUCCGGAUUUAAACCUCUUUAGAUUGUCACAAAGCUUCAGUCUCUGAUAACCAUUACAAGUUUGCGACUGAGUUUGAGUCCCAUAACUUUCUGGCCUUCAUCUGAGGUAAGUUACUCAACUUUUUUUGUUUUGUUACUUAGCUUUUAAGCUACUUUUUCCUCUCCUGAAAAUGGGAGAGAAUAUGAAUACCCACCUGAAAGGGAGGGUGGGAAGACCAAAUGACAUAAUUCAUAAUUGAUGUAGAAGUGCCCUGUAGCUUGUAAUGGACGUAAAAAAGCCGUCUCCAAAUCUUCGUUGCCUUGUGAGUUGUAUUUGCAACUUCAGCAGAUACCAGAUAAAUUUAGAAAUUGCCCCUGCAAUAGACAUAUGUUGCCACCAGGUGGCAGGAGAAACCUGUGAUGCAAUCAAGGAGGACAAACAUUCUCAGAGAGAAUUAAUAAAAUAAAUUCUGAUUGUUAGAAGCAGCCAACUCUUUAGUGUUUAUUAAAUAAACAACAAAGCUUAUUUAUAAAUCACAGAAACCCGGAAUACACCAAAUAUGAAUCCUCUAAUACAGGAUGUUUCAAACAGUUUUUAGGCCCUGGUACUCAUUUUCCAGCUGAAAUCUUACACAGAACCCCAAGUAUAGAAAGUAGAUAAAAGUGGCAGAACUUUUUCUGAAGUAGGGCAGGCACAUUGGGAGUUAAUUCACUCAUCCUCCUUCUUUAUCCUUGAGCCACCUCUGCCAAACCUCAGGUCUUCCUGGGACUGAGUUCUAAACCACUGUUCUAACAACUGUAUUAAUACCCUUUGAAAAUAUUCC
rnacentral:lncRNA from 1 species